UGGGGAAUUUUGGACAAUGGGCGAAAGCCUGAUCCAGCAAUGCCGCGUGAGUGAAGAAGGCCUUCGGGUUGUAAAGCUCUUUUGUCAGGGAAGAAACGGUGAGAGCUAAUAUCUCUUGCUAAUGACGGUACCUGAAGAAUAAGCACCGGCUAACUACGUGCCAGCAGCCGCGGUAAUACGUAGGGUGCAAGCGUUAAUCGGAAUUACUGGGCGUAAAGCGUGCGCAGGCGGUUAUGCAAGACAGAUGUGAAAUCCCCGGGCUCAACCUGGGAACUGCAUUUGUGACUGCAUAGCUGGAGUGGGGCAGAGGGGGAUGGAAUUCCACGUGUAGCAGUGAAAUGCGUAGAUAUGUGGAGGAACACCGAUGGCGAAGGCAGCCCCCUGGGUCAAGAUUGACGCUCAUGCACGAAAGCGUGGGGAGCAAACA
rnacentral:rRNA from 1 species